UACGAAGGGAGCUAGCGUUGUUCGGAAUCACUGGGCGUAAAGCGCACGUAGGCGGAUUUGUCAGUCGGGGGUGAAAUCCCGAGGCUCAACCUCGGAACUGCCUCCGAUACAGCAAAUCUCGAGUCCGGGAGAGGUGGGUGGAAUUCCUAGUGUAGAGGUGAAAUUCGUAGAGAUUAGGAAGAACACCAGUGGCGAAGGCGGCCCACUGGCCCGGUACUGACGAUGAGGUGCGAAAGAGUGGGGAGCAAACAGG
rnacentral:rRNA from 1 species